rnacentral:rRNA from 1 species
UACGUAGGGUGCAGGCGUUAAUCGGAAUUACUGGGCGUAAAGCGUGCGCAGGCGGCUUCUUAAGCCAGAUGUGAAAUCCCCGGGCUCAACCUGGGAAUGGCAUUUGGGACUGCAAGGCUUGAGUGCGGCAGAGGAGACUGGAAUUCCUGGUGUAGCAGUGAAAUGCGUAGAUAUCAGGAGGAAUACCGAUGGCGAAGGCAGGUCUCUGGGCUGACACUGACGCUCAUGCACGAAAGCGUGGAGAGCAAACAGG